rnacentral:rRNA from 1 species
AUUGAACGCUGGCGGCAGGCCUAACACAUGCAAGUCGAGCGGUAGAGAGGUGCUUGCACCUCUUGAGAGCGGCGGACGGGUGAGUAAUGCCUAGGAAUCUGCCUGGUAGUGGGGGAUAACGCUCGGAAACGGACGCUAAUACCGCAUACGUCUUACGGGAGAAAGCAGGGGGACCUUCGGGCCUUGCGCUAUCAGAUGAG